rnacentral:tRNA from 1 species
GGAGGCGUGGCCGAGCGGUUUAAGGCACUGGUCCUGAAAAUCAGCGACGGAUGACCGUCCGCGCGCUCGAAUUUCAACGCUUCCG